rnacentral:rRNA from 1 species
CCUACGGGUGGCAGCAGUGAGGAAUAUUGGUCAAUGGACGAGAGUCUGAACCAGCCAAGUAGCGUGAAGGAUGACUGCCCUCUGGGUUGUAAACUUCUUUUAUAUGGGAAUAAAAUGUUCCUCGUGUGGGACUUUGUAUGUACCAUAUGAAUAAGGAUCGGCUAACUCCGUGCCAGCAGCCGCGGUAAUACGGAGGAUCCGAGCGUUAUCCGGAUUUAUUGGGUUUAAAGGGAGCGUAGGUGGGUUGUUAAGUCAGUUGUGAAAGUUUGCGGCUCAACCGUAAAAUUGCAGUUGAAACUGGCAGUCUUGAGUACAGUAGAGGUGGGCGGAAUUCGUGGUGUAGCGGUGAAAUGCUUAGAUAUCACGAAGAACUCCGGUUGCGAAGGCGGCUCACUGGACUGCAACUGACACUGAGGCUCGAAAGUGUGGGUAUCAAACAGGAUUAGAUACCCCUGUAGUC